CAGGAGAAGGACUAGUACAAACAAGUUAAAACUUAUACUAGGGACGUGCCACGACAAGUUAAAACUGUGUACACAAACUAAUACUACAAAUUAAAAUCGGUUGUCCGCAACUCCACCCUACGUUUGCGACAUAACGAAAAAAAUACAGGAACUUCGUCCCUUCGAUUGGGUGUCUCCCUAGGGUCUAGGAUUUUGAGGUUAGGACCCGCUGUUCCUCACCGACCAACUCCGGUGCAACAUCCCGCAGCACCCAGCCAACGCGUGGACCCGACUCAAUACCUGGUCCGCCAGCUACCCCCAGGUGACCAAGUCGACACCUGACGCGUCGACGCCGCGACUGUCAGACGAGGGUAAACACGACGCCG